UCCGGUUUGGCACCGGCGGUCUCCGAUGAGUCCCCGGCAUUACCCGCUGGCAACAUCGGACAGGGGUUGCGCUCGUUGCGGCACUUAAGCCAACAUCUCACGGCACGAGCUGACGACAGCCAUGCAACACCUGUCCUGGUUCCCGACUUUACGGGUGGGCCACCCUUUCAGGCGCCUACUUCCAGAAUGUCAAGCCUGGGUAAGGUUCUUCGCUUUGCAUCGAAUUAAGCAACGCGCUCCGCCGCUUGUGCGGGCCCCGUCAAUUCCUUUGAGUUUUAGCCUUGCGGCCGUACUCCCCAGGCGGCGAACUUAAUGCGUUAGCUUCGGCACGGAGGCCAUGACAGCCCCCACACCUAGUGCCCAACGUUUACGGCAUGGACUAC
rnacentral:misc_RNA from 1 species